rnacentral:rRNA from 1 species
GUGGGGAAUAUUCCGCAAUGGACGAAAGUCUGACGGAGCAACGCCGCGUGAGUGAUGAAGGUUUUCGGACUGUAAAGCUCUGUUGUUUAGGACGAAAGUGCCUGUUGCGAACAGUUACAGGUAUUGACGGUACUAAACGAGGAAGCCACGGCUAACUACGUGCCAGCAGCCGCGGUAAUACGUAGGUGGCAAGCGUUGUCCGGAAUUAUUGGGCGUAAAGAGCAUGUAGGCGGAGAUUUAAGUCUGUUGUGAAAAUGUGGGGCUCAACCCCGUAUUGCGAUGGAAACUGAAUUUCUUGAGUGCAGGAGAGGAAAGGGGAAUUCCCAGUGUAGCGGUGAAAUGCGUAGAUAUUGGGAGGAACACCAGUGGCGAAGGCGCCUUUCUGGACUGUGUCUGACGCUGAGAUGCGAAAGCCAGGGUAGCGAACGGGAUUAGAAACCCUGGUAGUCC